UUCAGUGUAGCUCAGGGGUUGGGGACUUGUCUGGCAUGCAGAGGGCCUGAGUUUGAUCCCCAGCACUGAAA
rnacentral:tRNA from 1 species